rnacentral:rRNA from 1 species
UACGUAGGGGCCUAGCGUUGUCCGGAAUUAUUGGGCGUAAAGAGCUCGUAGGCGGUUCGGCAAGUCGGAUGUGAAAUCUCCACGCUUAACGUGGAGGGGCCAUUCGAAACUGCUGUGACUCGAGUCCGGUAGGGGAGUGUGGAAUUCCCGGUGUAGCGGUGAAAUGCGCAGAUAUCGGGAGGAACACCAGUAGCGAAGGCGGCACUCUGGGCCGGUACUGGACGCUGAGGAGCGAAAGCGAUGGGGAGC